rnacentral:lncRNA from 1 species
CCAGGGACCGCCGGCUGCGAGCAGCGGGAACGGACCUGCCCCGGGUCGCAGCGGUUUUUCCCGGGCGGGGCUGAGGCUGCAGGGAGGCGGGCGUUCCGGCGGAGGGUCACGGCCUCGCCGCCGGGACUUUCCUGGGGUGGAGGUGUGAGCACGUAGGAGCCCUGGCCUUUCCAACUUCCCAGCAUGUGAUCUUUCUUUUUUUCACUCCACCUUUCCCCCAUCAAAUGAGGAAGGAAAGCUCAAGCAGUUUACUAUUUUGGGAAAAUUGUGCCAUCGUGCUUAGUACAUAGUGUGUAUCAGACUUAAGAAAAGGACAAGAAUGAAACUAUUAAAAAAAUUUCUCCAACUGGCAAUUAAAAGACAAUGGGAAAACUGCUUCUAUGUUUAAGAAAAAAUAAUUUAACUCUUAAUUUUAUUGCCACUUAUCUACUUUUGACCAUAUAUUGAGGAUUCCCCCCCACCUUCCACCACCAGUGGAACUGGGGAAUAAAACAACAAAGAUUGAAGAUGUAAUGGAGAAAAGAGUGGAAACAACCCAAGACAGUGAUGAAGGGGAAUCUCAUGAAAUCAUCUGUGUUGCAAAUCUAGAGAGGUAUGAUGUACCACAGUGGAGUAACUGGAUGGAUGGAAUUCACCUAAAAGGAGAUAUUCAGGGAAAAACAAAACAAACAAAAAACAAAAACAAAAACAAAAAACGCUCAAACUAUUACACUAGGUUAUAUAUAUACAUAUAUAUUUUUUUUCUUUUUCUCUUCCUAUUUUCCUUUUCC